rnacentral:rRNA from 1 species
GCCUCAUAGCGGGGGAUAACUAUUGGAAACGAUAGCUAAUACCGCAUAAGAGUGAUUAACACAUGUUAGUUAUUUAAAAGGAGCAAUUGCUUCACUGUGAGAUGGACCUGCGUUGUAUUAGCUAGUUGGUGAGGUAAAGGCUCACCAAGGCGACGAUACAUAGCCGACCUGAGAGGGUGAUCGGCCACACUGGGACUGAGACACGGCCCAGACUCCUACGGGAGGCAGCAGUAGGGAAUCUUCGGCAAUGGACGGAAGUCUGACCGAGCAACGCCGCGUGAGUGAAGAAGGUUUUCGGAUCGUAAAGCUCUGUUGUUAGAGAAGAACGU